GCGCGAACUGGCGCUCAAGCUACGCCGAAGGUGAGUAUAGUGGAUGUGGGUGGCUCUUAUUUGGCCGGUCCUCUCACAUCUCCAUAUUCACAGGCGUCGAGAGCUGCGCCACAAGUAUGGUAC
rnacentral:precursor_RNA from 15 species